GCCGCCCGGCGCUCCGAGCCUGGCUCCCCACGGCGACCCGGAGCCCGCGCGGUGGCUGCGGCGGCUGUGCGGCGGGCUGCGGUGUCGCCAGCAUCCCCGCGACCGGGACAGGAGGUGAUGGCGCCGCCGCCCCAUCUGGGGCCCUUCGCAGCUCGCCGCCGGCGCCGUCCCCAGCCCAGGGCCGCUGGCCGGCCACCUGGGGGUAUGAAAAGGCCCCAAAUGGCGCGAAAAUACAGCCUGCAGUCUCUGGUGUCCAAGGAACGGGCUGUAGGCUGUGGAGUGGAAGCAGGUUUCGCGAGGACGGAGCACAAGCCUUACUGGCCGUGCCGGAGACCAAGCCUCGGCUUUGCUCAGCGUCUCUGCAAAUGCGUUGAGCACUGUUAAGGGCCGGGGACACCGAGACGAGACGGAGCAGAGCCCUGCGGUCGCGGGACUUGCAUUCUCUUAAGCGUCUGAGCUCCUCCCUCCCCAGGGCAGCACAUCGCUGCCGGCCCCACCUUGCCGAAAGAGCUGGGGGCAGCGAGGAGGCACGCGCAGCAUUUGCCAAGGUGCAGGCAGAGCCUGAGCUCACGCUGGUGUCGCCCUGCACCUGCUUCUCUGUCCAGGUCUGGCUUGGUGGGAGCAGCUUCUUGGCAGUUGGAGCUGGACGGGUGAUCAGACCCCUGCAGUGCAGCCCCGCCGCCCUCCGGAGCCCCCAGGGCCGGAGCCCCCAGGGCUGUGCUGAGCCAGGGCUGGCAGGAGCUGACCACCACAGCCUCCACACCUUACAGGAGAAGAGUCUCAGCAGCGGACAAUGAGGAAGUGGCCUGCGGCUGUGCAACGAGUCACCCCACGACCCAGCAGCUUCACACCAGUAUCCGUCGUCUCGCAGCUUCUGCGGGUCAGGGACCCGGCCGGCUGUGUCGGGCGCUUCUGCCUCAAGGGUGCCGCUGGGGCUGGCAGUGCUAACAGCCUUCUCCAGGCCAACAGGCCACUUCCAGACUGGGUAGGACCGCACUGAGCAGAUUUGUGAGUCAGUUUUACAAGAUGGACUCGGUGUCGACUUCAUUGUGAAGUACUACUGCAUGCUGCUUGAAGCUUCCCAGUGAACUCCUAUAGGACUUAAAUCAGAGUGUUUGAGAAUCAGCUAAAUGGUUACUUUCUGUGAAUCAGAUGUAUGCAUAGAAAAUAACUUUUCUCCAGUUAAAACUUCAAAAUCCAAAGACACUUUAAUUGUUUAUAUAUUCAUUUCAAAGGUGAAAUUAGGGCAUCUGUAAUGUUUGGGCAUCAGUUUCUAUUUGAUAUGCACUUUUCUCAAAAUAAUUGACACUAUCAUGCAGUGAUUUGUUUCCAAUUUUUUUAAAUUAAUCAAUUAAUUUUGUUGUCAUUAAUCUGCAAUUACAUGAAGAAUAUUAUGUUUACUAUGGUCCCCCCUUCGCCAAAUCCCCCCCACACACCCCAUUACAGUCACUGUGCAUCAGCAUAGUAAGAUGCUGUAGAAUCACUACUUGUCUUCUCUAUGUUGCACAGCCCUCCCCGUGCCCCCCCACCAUUAUACAUGCUAAUCGUAAGGCCCCCUUUCUUUUUCCCCACCCUUAACCCUCCCUUCCCUCCCUUCCUCCCCAGUCCCUUUCCCUUUGGCAACUGUUAGUCCAUUCUUAGGUUCUAUGAUUCUGCUGCUGUUUUGUUCCUUCAGUCUUUCUUUGUUCCUAUAGUCUUUGGGUUUGAGGUGAGUCUCUUGUAAGCAGCAUAUAGAUGGGUCAUGCUUUUUUAUCCAUUCUAUUAUUCUGUGUCUUUUGAUUGGUGCAUUCAGUCCAUUUACAUUUAGGGUGAUUAUUGAAAGAUAUGUACUUAUUGUCAUUGCAGGCUUUAGAUUUGUGGUUGCCAAAGGUUCAAGGUUAGCUUCUUUAGUAUCUUACUGUCUAACUUAACUCGCUUAUUGAGCUAUUUUAAACACUGUCUGGUCAUUCUUUAUUUUUCUCUCUUAUUCCUCCUCCUCCAUUCUUUAUAUGUUGGUUGUUUAAUUCUGUGCUCUUUUGUGCUUCCUUUAACUGCUUUUGUGGGUAGCUGAUUUUAUUUUUUGCCUUUAGUUAGUAUUUGGUUGGUCUGCUUUCUUUGCUGUGAUUUUAUUUUCUCUGGUGACAUCUAUUUAGCCUUAGAAGUGCUCCCAUCUAGAGCAGUCCCUCUAAAAUACCCUGUAGAGGUGGUUUGUGGGAGGCAAAUUCCCUCAACUUUUGCUUGUCUGGGAAUUGUUUAAUCCCUCCUUCAUAUUUAAAUGAUAGUCAUGCUGGAUACAGUAUCCUUGGUUCAAGGCCCUUCUGUUUCAUUGCAUUAAAUAUAUCAUGCCAUUCUCUUCUGGCCUGUAUUGUUUCUGUUGAGAAGCCUGAUGAUAGCCUGAUGGGUUUUCCUUUGUAGGUGACCUUUUUCCUCUCUCUAGCUGCCUUUAAAACUCUGUCCUUGUCCUUGAUCUUUGCCAUUUUAAUUAUUAUGUGUCUUGGUGUUGUCCUCCUUGGGUCAUUUCUGUUGGGAGUUCUGUGUACUUCCAUGGUCUGAUCGAUUAUUUCCUCCCCCAGUUUGGGGAAGUUUUCAGCAAUUAUUUCUUCAAAUACACUUUCUAUCCCUUUCUCUCUCUUCUUCUUCUUCUGGUACCCCUAUAAUGUGGAUAUUGUUCCUUUUGGAUUGGUCACACAGUUUUCUUAAUAUUGUUUCAUUCCUGGAGAUCCUUUUAUCACUCUCUGCGUCAGCUUCUAUGCGUUCCUGUUCUCUGGUUUCUAUUUCACCAAUGGCCUCUUGCAUCUUAUCCAUUCUGUUUAUAAAUCCUUCCAGAGAUUGUUUCAUUUCUGUAAUCUCCUUCCGGACAUCAUCCCUUAGCUCUUGCAUAUUUCUCUGCAUCUCCAUCAGCGUGGUUAUGAGCUUUAUUUUUAAUUCUUUUUCAGGAAGACUGGUUAGGUCUAUCUCCUUCUCAGGGUUUGCCUCUGUGAUCUUGGUCUGUAUCAAUUUCUUCUGCCUUUUCAUAGCAAUAGAUAUAUUUGUGGGGAGCUGGUGCAUGUAUUGGGUAAGAGAAAGUCCCUUCUUGCCAGUUUAUGGCCUUCCUCUCCUGGGAGAACAGCGGCCUCUAGCGGCUUGUGCUGGGCAGCUGCACGCAGACGGGGCUCCUGAUCUUGCCCGGCCACUAUGGAGUUUGUUUAGCUCUGCAGUUGCUGUGGGCGUGGCCGGCCUCAGGCUGCUGCUCCAAUAUGGCGGGGCCACGUGGCAGGGGGAAUGGCCGGGAGGCUGUUUAUCUACGUGAGGAGCCUCCAAGCUGCCCUGCUGCCCAGGGGUUAGAUUGCCCAGAGUUCCCUGGGAUUCCCAGCUGCUGGGCUAAGUGUCCCGGGAUGCUUCUGUCCAGCUGUGGGGUCCCUGUCCCUUUAAGACUUCGGAAAAGCACUCGCUUUUCUUUGUCCCGGGUGCGCUGGCUGCAGGACCCGCUCACCGGUCUUGCUGCCCUGUUUCCCUAGUAUCCAGGGCCCCCCCGCGCACGCACUGUGUCUGCGCUCUGGCCCGGAUGGCGGGGGCUGGGUGUUCGGCAGUCCUGGGCUCCCUCCCCCUCCCGCUCCGACUCCUCUCCUCCCGCGGGGAGCUGGGGGGAGGGGCGCUCGGGUCCUGCGGGGCCAGGGCUUGUAUCUUACCCCUUUCACCAGGCACUGGGCUCUCGCAGGUGUGGGUGUGGUCUGGCUGUUGUCCUGUGUCCUCUGGUCUCUCUUUUAGGAUUAGUUGUAUGUGUUGUAUUUUCAAAAAUACAUAUGGUUUUGGGAGGAGAUUUCCGCUGCUCUACUCACGCCGCCAUCUUGGUUCUCCUUGUUUACAAUUUUUAUUCCUAUAUUUUAAAAUUCAGGCAGUAUAAUAUCUUUUGUUAAAAUUUUACAUUCAAACAUGCUUUCAUAGUUACUUUCAUUUGUUGUAAGCAAACAGGCAAGCCUUCUAUUAAGCAUGCAGCUUUAUGUAUAGCCAUUUUAUUAUAUAGCCUCCUUAACACUUACGCUUAAUUUAGAGUAUCAUCCCACACAGAUAGAUUGCAAACAACUAUAUGAUCUACUUACAGCAAGAUGCUUUAGGUGUCAGCAUAAUGUAUUUUUCAUUUGGUAUAUAUUUCAAUAUGUAUGUCUUUGUGAAGUACCUUGAUUGUAUUUAAUCUUGAUCCCCAUACAUUGUGUUUUUAAUGUAGGUUUUCAAACAGAUGUAAGAAUACCUUAUCUUCUCAUUCAUCUUUUUACUCACCAAAAAAAGUGUAUAUAUUUUUGUACAAUGCUGAAAAAUUUAAAUCAAAUUUGAUUUCACAGAAGCAGCAUUUUUGCAUAUUAAGAUUAUGAGCUAAGGAAGGCAGAAAUUUGGCAUAAUCAUAUUUUGGGAAAAAUAAUGGCUUAUAUAUUCAUAUACAACCUGCCAUAUUUUCUCCAGUUUUUAAAUCCCUGAUGACAAGCAUUUUUAUGUCAGUAUCUUUUCCAACCUCUAAUUUCAUAAACUAAAUCUAGAAAAUUUUUUCUUUCAUUUCGAUGAAAUCAAUACAACUUAUUUUAUUGUUACAACAUUAUUCUUAAUGCAAGCAGGUUGCCUGGUCUGACACACUUAUUCACAAUGGACCACAUCUGGUAUGCAAUCACAAAGUGAGGAAACAGAUUUGCUUCCUUUAUUCUUGGUAGUGUUUCAGACCUAAUAUAGUUUGCAAGGAGCAUUAUACAUUCGUUUUGAAUUUAAUUAUUAGAGAAGACACAUCAAUAAUUUACGAUUUCCUAGGAUGUAAGUUAUUUUUUGUUCAAAAAGUGACAUCUAAAAUCACUCAAAGUAUUCUGCCAUUUUCUUCUCUCCAAUUUUGUCUCCCACAAAGUAUCAUCUACUAAACUGUCAGUAGGACUAUUUUUAGCACAUCCAUGUUAGAGACCAUCACAAUGAAACAGCAAAUUUUCAUUUCUUGGAUUUUUCUAAUCUUUGAGACCUUUUUCUCAAUUUCAAAAAUUUGAAUCUGUGUAUUACUGUAGAAAGCAUGUGUGAAAAAUAAAGAUAAUUUUUUGAAAGAAAUGGGCCAUAGUGAAUUUGUAUGCCAUUAGAACCUUAAGGAAAAUAAAUAGUCCUUAGAAAAAUCUUCAGUCAUCACAUGAAGCAGAGUCCUAAAAUCUACAUCUUGGCUUUGUGAUUUUAAAAAAUCAUUUUUAUUUUAUCACAAAGUAGCAGCUGCAAUGGAGAAUUAUUAAAAUGUAUGUCAAGUGGCAUCUGCUGACUUUUGCUCACACUAAUAUUCACUAGUUCCUGAAAUUUCUAAUAUUUCUCUUUAUUUUCUGAAGAAGAAUCUUCAACUGAAUUUGAUGGUAAUUCUGUUCUAAUAAUGUCAAUGUUAAGGGCCCUCAUUUUUGGUGGUUGGAAUACUGUUUCUCUAGGCAAACUUGCAGUUGUCCCCUCUAACUUGAUCCAUUUCUGCUUAUACUUUUCUUCUUUUCCUGAAUAUUGUACCACUUGGCUUUGUAGAUACUGUAUUUGUUUACAAAAUUUUAGAUACAUUUGAAAAUACUAAUAUAAGAUUUAAUUAUAACAGGAUAAUUUACAUUGAUAUAAUAUGAAAGAUAUUAAGGAGAUAUACAUAAAAACUUGUAGCAAAAAUACAGAAAUCAAUUGCUAUGAGAAUGUAAAAUAGUAUAGUCACUGUGGAAAAGAGUAUGACAGUUCUUCAAAAAACUACACAUAGAAUAACUGUGAGGCCCAGCAAUUCCACCCCUGGGUCUAAUAUACCCAAAAGAGCUGAAAACAGGACUCAGACAGAUCAUUGUAAUAGCAAUGUUCAUAGCACUGUUGUCAGCCUCCAAAAGGUGGGAGCAACUCAUGUCCAUCAACAGAUGAAUGUUUAAACAAAAUGGGGGGGUCUAUAUAGUGGAAUAUUAUUUAGCCAAGAAAAGGCGUGAAGUUCUGCACCUGGAUAGAUCUUGAAAACAUUUUGCUAGGUUAUAUAAGGUAAAUGCAAAAAAUAUGUGUGAUUCCACCUAUAUGAGUUACUUAGAAUGGGCAGAAUCACAGAGACAGACUAGGACUUACCAGGGAUAGGGGAAGGGAAAGAUAGGGGAUAUUGAUACCAAGUCCAGACUCAUGCUACUCACCAUGAAACAUGCCAGUAAGUUGAGAGACAAGGCAUUGAGGCAAGGAAAGCAACUCCUUGGAAAGUCUGCAGACCUAGAAGGUGGAGGACUCAUGUCCUGAGGCCCCAUUGUAACUCAGGGUUGUUUGCAAGAUUGUUUUACGUUAGGAAAAGCAGAGGGCAGGAGGGAGGCAGGUUAGCGAGUGACUCAAGGCCGCAGACAUCUGGGCGCCAGUGAGUGUCCAAGGAGAGCUGAGAAACUCUGUCCUUGGUUAGCUGACUCUUGCCAACCCAGGUCUGGUUGUGAUGUUCCUAAAACUCUGACAAGGCCAUCAUUAUUUGCCUAUCUCCUGGAGGGGGCAAGCGUUGGGCAGGAGCUUUUGCAGAAAUCUCAAACUGUCAGCAAAAUUCCCUUUGAUGAUCAACAAGCCUGCAUGCAGGACUGCAGGGCUGAGCUGGACCCAUUUCCUUUUUUUUUUAACUUUUGGCCCAAAGGUUAAGACAGCAAAGGAGGCAAAUACAGUGUGGAGGCAGACAGACCAACUUCUUCAUUUGGUUACAAUAUUACUUCAUGGGAACAGAGUUUCUGUUUGGGGUGUGAAAACGUUCUGGAAAUAGGUACUAAUGAUGACUGUAUAACAUUGUGAAUAUAAUUAGUGCCCCUGAAUUGUACGCUUAAAAAUGGCUAAAAUGAUAAACUUUCUAUUGGGUAUGUUUACCACAGUAAAAAACUCAGCUAAAGAAAGUAUCGACUAAGCUGAACAUAAAUGUGCCCUCUGGCCCAGUAAUGCCAUCCCUGGGCAUAUCCCAGUGGAAAUGAGUCCCAGCGUUCACCAAGAGGCAUGUGCAGGAAUGCUUGCAGCAGCACGGACUGGAUGCAGUGCAGCCGUCCAUCACGCUGAGAAUGCAUAAACAGGCUGUGGUACAUCCCAAACGGAGGAACACUGUACAGUGAUGAGAAGGGACAAACUAUGGCUAUUAACUCAGAGGGAUUUCACCAACAUCGUGUCGGGUGACAGGAGGCAGAGCUAGAGCACACACCGCGGGAGUCCAUUUAUGUCAAGUACAAGCCCAGCAAAAUGAGUCUACCUAGCAACCUUGGGGGUUGUGACCGCAAGUGGCUUCUGGGCUGCAUGAAAUGGUCAAUUUUUUGAUCCGGGCCCUAGUCAAUCGGCCUGUUCACUUUGUGACAAUCCAUCAAGCUGUACUUUUGAUGAUUUGUGUACUUUUCUGUAAGUAUAGUUUUACUUCCAUAAAAUUAUUUACUAAAAACAUACAGAAAUUAGUUGUUACAAAUAGCAGAAAAUCAUGUACCUGCUGUGAAUAAAGUAGUAAAAAAAAUUUUUUUUAUAAAAAGUGAAUAGCAGUGACAAACAACAACAAAUGUUGGUGAGGAUGCAGAGAAAGGGGAACCCUCCUACACUGCUGGUGGGAAUGUAAAUUAGUUCAACCAUUGUGGAAAGCAGUAUGGAGGCUCCUCAAAAAACUAAAAAUAGAAAUAACAUUUGACCCAGGAAUUCCACUCCUAGGAAUUUACCCAAAGGAAACAAGAUCCCAGAUUCAAAAAGACAUAUGUACCCCUAUGUUUAUAGCAGCACUAUUUAUGAUAGCCAAGAUAUGGAAGCAACCUAAGUGUCCAUCACUGGAUGAAUGGAUAAACAAGAGGUGGUACGUAUACACAGUGGAAUAUUAUUUAGCCAUAAGAAGAAAACAAAUCCUACCAUUUGCAACAACAUGGAUGGAGCUAGAAGGUAUUUUGCUCAGUGAAAUAUAAGCCAGGCAGAGAAAGAAAAGUAUCAAAUGAUUUCACUCAUCUGUGGAGUAUAACAGCAAAGAAAAAACUGAAGGAACAAAACAGCAGCAGACUCACAGACCCCAAGAAUGGACUAACAGUUACCAAAGGGAAAGAGACUGGGGAGGAUGGGUGGGAAGGGAGGGAUAAGGGGGAAAAAGGGGCAUUAUGGUUAGCACACAUAAUGUACUGGGGGGGACACACAUAAGUAGUGACUCUGUAGCAUCUUACUACACUGAUGGACAGUAAUGGGGUAUGUGGUGGGGACUUGAUAAUAGAGGGAGUCUAGUAACCAUAAUGUUGCUCAUGUAAUUGUACAUUAUUGAAACCAAAAUAAAAUUUUUUUAAAAAGUGAAUUGCAGUGAACUAUUUGUCACUUUCUUAAGAGAAUAAAGUAUCAAAGUUUCCUGGCAAAUUUAUUUUCCUGGGUAAAAAACUUCAAAAAAUGCUUGAUCAAAUCUCAUUUGUGGGAAGUCCAACAUGUGCACCAAUAAAACUGAUACUGCU